GCGGGGUUAGUUUAGUGGUAAAACAUCAGCCUUCCAAGCUGAUUAUACGGGUUCGAUUCCCGUACCCCGCUC
rnacentral:tRNA from 1 species